rnacentral:miRNA from 1 species
UCACUCUCACCUUGCUUUGC